rnacentral:lncRNA from 1 species
ACAAAUGUGGAGUCUCGAUGUGCCCCCAAAAAUUCGCUCCUUCCUCUGGAGUAUUUGCCAGAACGCCCUCCCGACGAAGGAAAACCUAUUCAGAAGGAAAAUUGUUAGUGACCCCCGAUGCCCUAUAUGCUAUUCGAGUACAGAAACAACAGAACACUUGCUGUUCUUCUGCAAGUGGACAAAAAAAAUCUGGCAAGACCCAAUUUUUGCAACGAUCAGGCCAAAUAAUGGCCUCCAACGCACGGAUCAGUGGCUUACAAGUGCCUUUCGAAGAGACAGGAACUUACCCGAGCGAGAGCUGGUCAGUCUGGUUCUGUGGAACAUCUGGAAGGCGCGAAACAACCGGAUCUUUCGUGCGCAGGAACCCCGACCAGCAGAUCUGCUGCUUGCAGCACAGGAACAACAGUACUCGUUCAGCAAGAGCACAUCAAACAGAAGAGAGAGAUCUCCCAAUCGAAGCAAACCUGGUCCGUGGAGGCCUCCGGAAGGGCAAAAUCUGAAGAUGAACGUCGAUGCAUCGUGGCAACCCGGUGAUCUCCUCUGCUCUGUCGCCGGAGUGGUUCGC